GGAGUUUGGACCGUGUCUCAGUUCCAAUGUGGGGGACCUUCCUCUCAGAACCCCUACUGAUAGUUGGCCAGGUGGGCCGUUACCCCGCCUGCAACCUAAUCAGACGCAUCCCCAUCCCUUAGCGAUAAAUCUUUGGUAUUCGUCAGAUGUCCUCAAAAUACAACAUAGAGUAUUAAUCCGACUUUCGCCGGGCUAUCCUCUACUAAGGGGAAGGUUGGAUACGCGUUACUCACCCGUGCGCCGGUCGCCAGCGACAAUAGCAAGCUAUCGUCCUGCUGCCCCUCGACUUGCAUGUGUUAAGCCUGUAGCUAGCGUUCAUC
rnacentral:rRNA from 1 species